GAUGAACGCUGGCGGCGUGCCUAAUACAUGCAAGUCGAGCGAACAGACGAGGAGCUUGCUCCUCUGACGUUAGCGGCGGACGGGUGAGUAACACGUGGAUAACCUACCUAUAAGACUGGGAUAACUUCGGGAAACCGGAGCUAAUACCGGAUAAGCUCUUGAACCGCAUGGUUCAACGGUGAAAGACGGCCUUGCUGUCACUUAUAGAUGGUUCCGCGCCGCAUUAGCUGGUUGGUAAGCUAACGGCUUACCAAGGCAACGAUGCGUAGCCGACCUGAGAGGGUGAUAGGCCACACGGGAACUGAGACAGGCUCAAGACUACUACGGGAGGGAGCAGUAGGGAAUCGUACGCAAUGGGCGAAAGUCUGACGGAGUAAGGCCGCGUGAGUGAAGAAGGUCUUGGGAGCGUAAAGCCCUGUUAUUAGGGAAGAACAAAUGUGUAAGUAACUAUGCACGUCUUGACGGUACCUAAUCAGAAAGCCACGGCUAACUACGUG
rnacentral:rRNA from 1 species